ACUGAGACACGGACCCAGGCCCUAUGGGGCGCAGCAGGCGAGAAAACUUUGCAAUGUGCGAAAGCACGACAAGGUUAAUCCGAGUGGUUUGUGCUAAACGAACCUUUUGUUAGUCCUAGAAACACUAACGAAUAAGGGGUGGGCAAGUUCUGGUGUCAGCCGCCGCGGUAAAACCAGCACCUCAAGUGGUCAGGAUGAUUAUUGGGCCUAAAGCAUCCGUAGCCGGCUCUGUAAGUUUUCGGUUAAAUCUGUACGCUUAACGUACAGGCUGCCGGGAAUACUGCAGAGCUAGGGAGUGGGAGAGGUAGACGGUACUCGGGAGGAAGGGGUAAAAUCCUUUGAUCUCUCGAUGACCACCUGUGGCGAAGGCGGUCUACCAGAACACGUCCGACGGUGAGGGAUGAAAGCUGGGGGAGCAAACCGGAUUAGAUACCCGGGUAGUCCCAGCUGUAAACUAUGCGAACUCAGUGAUGCAUUGACUUGUGGUCAAUGCAGUGCUGCAGGGAAGCCGUUAAGUUUGCCGCCUGGGAAGUACGUACGCAAGUAUGAAACUUAAAGGACCGGGCGGGGGAGCAG
rnacentral:rRNA from 1 species